GUGGGGAAUUUUGGACAAUGGGCGCAAGCCUGAUCCAGCCAUGCCGUGUGUCUGAAGAAGGCCUUCGGGUUGUAAAGGACUUUUGUCAGGGAAGAAAAGGAUAGGGUUAAUACCCCUGUCUGAUGACGGUACCUGAAGAAUAAGCACCGGCUAACUACGUGCCAGCAGCCGCGGUAAUACGUAGGGUGCGAGCGUUAAUCGGAAUUACUGGGCGUAAAGCGGGCGCAGACGGUUACUUAAGCAGGAUGUGAAAUCCCCGGGCUCAACCUGGGAACUGCGUUCUGAACUGGGUGACUAGAGUGUGUCAGAGGGAGGUAGAAUUCCACGUGUAGCAGUGAAAUGCGUAGAGAUGUGGAGGAAUACCGAUGGCGAAGGCAGCCUCCUGGGAUAACACUGACGUUCAUGCCCGAAAGCGUGGGUAGCAAACAGAAUUAGAUACCCUGGUAGUCCACGCCCUAAACGAUGUCGAUUAGCUGUUGGGCAGCUUGACUGCUUAGUAGCGAAGCUAACGCGUGAAAUCGACCGCCUGGGGAGUACGGUCGCAAGAUUAA
rnacentral:rRNA from 1 species